rnacentral:rRNA from 1 species
UGUGGGGAAUCUUAGACAAUGGGGGAAACCCUGAUCUAGCCAUGCCGCGUGAGCGAUGAAGGCCUUAGGGUUGUAAAGCUCUUUCAGCUGGGAAGAUAAUGACGGUACCAGCAGAAGAAGCCCCGGCUAACUCCGUGCCAGCAGCCGCGGUAAUACGGAGGGGGCUAGCGUUGUUCGGAAUUACUGGGCGUAAAGCGCGCGUAGGCGGGCUGUUAAGUCGGGGGUGAAAUCCCGGGGCUCAACCCCGGAACUGCCUUCGAUACUGGCAGCCUAGAGGUCGAGAGAGGUGAGUGGAAUUCCGAGUGUAGAGGUGAAAUUCGUAGAUAUUCGGAGGAACACCAGUGGCGAAGGCGGCUCACUGGCUCGAUACUGACGCUGAGGUGCGAAAGUGUGGGGAGCAAACAGGAUUAGAUACCCUGGUAGUCCACACCGUAAACGAUGAAUGCCAGACGUCGGGCAGCAUGCUGUUCGGUGUCACACCUAACGGAUUAAGCAUUCCGCCUGGGGAGUACGGCCGCAAGGUUA